UGGUCUAACAUGCAACUACAAACCCUCUAAUUAGGGCAGCUGGAAUUUAAGUAGAUAAAAGUCAUGUUGGACUUGACAAGGUAGAGAAGGAACAUGAACUUGGGGUUCUUCCUGAUGUGGUAGAACAAGAAAACCGAAAGCUUGGACUUACCACUGGAUCAGGUGCAUCAUCUUGCUUGCACAUGACCCACGGCACACCGGUGUUGAGACCCACUGCCAUUUGAGCAGCCCAGCUUAGGUAGUUCUUGGCUGCAGCGCCGUCAUAGUACUCCUGUAUACUAUAUUCGUUUUCAAUCUGCUCAAGUUAGACAAAGAGCAUGGAAGAACAGAAAGCGAAUUAGAUGAGAUCUUUGGGAGCUGAUCAACUCGAUGACACAUAAAAGCUAACGAAUUGAUGAAAGCAAAGAAGGAAUGGAUUCGAUGAUACCUGAGAGAGGAUAAUGGGACCACCCUGUGAUUCAAAUAAUCCUUCAGACUUCAUCAUGGCGACAAUCUUCUCUGUGAACUUCGCCAUGGCCGCCUUUUACAUGAAUAGACCAAUUAGCAAUUGCUCGGUUAGAGGAGAUCGAGUAUAAACAUGUAAAGAGAAGUUCCUGUGGAUUCUUACCUUGAAAGGUCCAUUGUCGCUCCUGAAAGUGAUGCCAGGAACAUAUUUUAACCAGACAGGAAAUCCCCUGUUUUACAAAGACAAGAUGAACAACAGAACAGCAUCAUCAGAUUGCAUGAUUAGGCUUUUGAUUCCACAUAGAAGAAUUAAUUGAAGACCUCGACCUCGUACCCAAAGUUCCAUUCGGCACAAACAUAAGGACCAAUCCGGAGAUGAACAUAGAGGCCGGCCUGCUUCACCAGCUUGAUGAAGCGAACCAGGUCGUAAUUACCACCAAAAUAAUACUGCCAAAGAUCAAGAAAAGCAACAAAUUGAGGCACACUAUGGGAAGGAGCAGUAGCCUUAGACGAGAGGGCUGGGAAAGGUUGGGUGAUCUCCGAACCUGGCCAGGGGACGGCUCGUGGCCGUUCCAGAACACAUAGGUCUGGAUAACAUCCAAGCCGCCAUCUUUAGCCUUCUGGAUGAGAUCCGGCCACAUCUGGAGACGAUCCAAUCGACAAAGUUCAGGUUUUGACGCGGUAGAAUAACAGUGCACGAACAGCUCACCAAAAAGGCCACAUUUCCCACAGAAUUGGAGACCUUACCUCCGGGGUGCUCCUGGGAUAGUGAAUGGAACCGGAGAUUAGAAUCCUCCUCUGCCCAUUGACGAUGAUAGCCUUGUGGUCGUAGGAAACGGAGGCAUCGACCGGAGAGGAAUGCCACGGAGACGACACCACCACCAACGCCACCGCCAGUAGCAGCAGCGUCGACAGUCCGCGGCCGCACCCAAGCGUUAUAAGCUCGAGGCUCAUGGUGGCCGGUCGGUCUUACCUUCAGAGGAGUCUCCUUUAGUGUUCUGGAUGUAUAAUAUGUGAAUGAUGGAGAUUCGUGCGCGCUGUUCUUCCGUCUUCUCCUCCGCUAGAGAAGUUCCGACGGAACUAUUGAGCAGUAGCGUUACUGCAACAAGCACACACCGAGGAAGAGAGAGGGAGAUCAAAGAGGAGGGAGGGAAGAGGGCGGACGUGGAGUGGGAGCGCGGGGGCGGGGAGGACGGGGGAGGGCGAUGUGCCUCUUGCGGUAUAAAUACCCGACGGGCGCAAGCGAGCACAGGAUUGGCGCUGGAAUACGCGGGUCCCAAAGCGCCAGCCACGUCAACGUUUUCUUCCAUUCCCCCUGAACAGGAAAAAAUCAAAUGGACCGAAGCGUGGGGCCAUCUGCUUGUAAGAAAGUGGACCAAUUAAGAUAAAGCUUUGAUAGUUGGCAAGGAUCGACAGAGUCAAAAUAUUUUGUUAAAAUUAUUAUUUGAGAAAAUUAGGACAGAUAGGUUAUGUGGAAUAAUAUUAGAAACUAAUAAUAUUAGUUUAGUUUUGUAAGAAAAUUUUAUGUUGAUGAUAUUUUUUAGUUGUCUAAUAUAUCGAUAUACAUUAUGAUAGUAAGCGAGUUAGAUAACAUAUCCAUAACCAUGAUAUAAAUAUUUUUUUAUAAAAUUACAUAUACAUGAUAUACCUAAAGGGUUUGAUGAGAUAUAUCAUAUUAUUAUUUUAUUAUGUGAAUAACAAUUUUUUUAUAUGUUAAUUUAGUUUCACAUAAGAAAUGUAUAAAGAUUUAGAUAAGAGUAUGAUAAUUGUACCAUUCUUAUCGUGAGUUUAGAGGGAUUUAACUCAAAGUAUCUCUCUCAGACGAAGAUUAUAUAUGUGGCAGAUAAGGCUAAGCCAGAUAGGAGAGAAAGGUAUGUUUUUAAAUAAAUAAAGCUUUUUAAGCAAUGGAAUAUUGUCAAAAUUAAAAUAAUAUGAAUACUAUAUUUUUGAAAAGCAAAUAAAGUUUCUUGAGUUGUAAUGAUAUCCAUUUUAAGCAAAUAUAAUUGCUGCAUUAUAUUUUUAAUGUCGAUGCCAAUAUUUAUAGUCACUGAUUAAAACAUGCCACAUAUAAUAUUUUCUUUCAAUACCAGAAAGAUAUUUAUAGUAUGAAUGAAAGGAUAAAUUUAGCUGAAUAUGGAACAUGAUGAACCAUAUCAUAACCAAUCCUCAAUUGAACUAAAACUUAAUCCUUACAGAAAUAGUUUGUAAUCAUCCUAAACUGGUCUAAAUAGAUUUCUAUUUUAGAUUAAACUGGCCUAGACAGUGCCUGACCCAGUCUGAUCCUUGAUAAGUGGUCAAGCCAAGCUACUGAAAUGUUGACCUCUGUGUUUGUAACUCAUGAUGAAAUUCUAAGUGACAUUAACAGUUUCUUCUUUAUAGUUGAUAAAUCAUUGUCAUCUCUUUCUAAAAAUAAAAAUAAAAAAAGCUGGGAAUAAAAAUAUCUAUAACAAUGCCUUUUUCCUGGCACCAGAUUGUAUCUUUACCACUAAUUUCUUGUUUCUUGCACUGUUGCACAUGAUCAUCAUGCAUCUUGUUAGACAUCUCAAGUGGUUGCCACAUAGUUCAGAGCUCAGAAGCACAGCCACACAAUUGCAUCAGGAAUCAAAAUGCUUAUAAGCUUUGCAGAAGCAAUGGAAAAGGCAAAGGAUGAUAACUUAAUAUGGAUCAAAAUGCUUAUAAGCUUAAGUAGUACAGAAGCAAAAGCUUAGCUCUUGCAAUUACAAGACCGACCAACCAUUUUGUGUAAACAUGCUAUCCCAAUUGCUAAUAUUAUGUCCACACAUGGACUCAAUAUAUGCAGAAUCCCACGUGCAGUAAGUAAUAUGUUGAGUGCAUCCAAUAUUUUCUAUGCACAUUUACUCACGUAACCAGGCAAUACCUUAAAGUGGGUGUGCAGUUCCUGCAUCUCCACCAAUCACUACUCCACGACUUUGGUUUGUAUAAAUUGACUUUAGUUCAUUUUCUUUACUUGGUCUACCAUCUGUGGUUAUCAUCUGCAGAUGGUUUUGACAGCAAGCUUCUUCAUAGUGCUACUCUUUUCACCAUUGAAAUCCCAGUUGGAUCACCACCCCACUCUUCAAACACAACCAACAAGUUUCCAGUUGGGUUCAGCCAAGCGCGAGGAACAUGAUACCUGAGAUUUGAGGUCAGUAAUCAGUCAUUUAUUCGAUUUUUUCGCAAGCUUAAUGGGGUGGAAAAAAAGGCAGGUGUUUCAUUACCAUUUUUGAGAAGGCUCCCCACAAUUAGUCUGGCAUUUCUUCUCGUUGUAUGUCCCUCUGUAAUCGCACCAAUCACAAGAACCAUAUGCCUUAUAGGCAGGCCAGUAUCUGCCAAUGCUUUGUCCAUUGAUCCAUAUCUGACCUUUGCCCAUGCUACUCAUGUCUAAUGCCAAUGGCUCAUUCCCAGCUGGAGCAUUAAAGAAAGCCUGGAAGAUGAUAAAGAUUAAGUGACACAAUAGUCUCAAACAUGAGAGGAAGGAAGAUGAACUUUAGGAUAACAUGUUUCUGUGUUGCAAGCAGUACUGACCUUGUACCAAGUCAAGGGCUGCUUUGUUGAUGCACCUCCCCACUCAACUGAAGAACUGCCACUAAGUGUAUGGAUGCUCAGGGAUUCACCUCUCAGGCCGAUCUACACACACAAACAUGGAACUCAGUAACCAGUAAGCAAGUUUUAGUCAGAGACUAAUGUAGGUAGGAAGAGUUGAUUGGAACCUGGUAAAUCCAUUUCUGUGAUGAAAGGUCUCUCUUUCCUUCAUUGAGACCUUCCAGAGUCACUGGACCAAGAACACCAGCAUUCCAUGUCUCAAAGUGGUUGCCAACAUUCUGAAACAGAUCAGAGAACAGAAAUCUGAUGUCUCAACAGCCAUCUUGUGUGUAUAAUUGUACAGGGUUAUUUGUAUGAUAUUUCAACUUUUCGAUCAAUGGCCAGGAAAUAUUUCACAACAAAUUAUGUACUCACAGGAAGACCAACAGCGACACUUAGAAUCGAGAUUUUGUUGCUUCCUGCCCACAACUUCACAUUUUCUCUGAAAGUCAGCUUUGGAUUGUCCAAACUACCAGAGACAGUCCCUGCCAGAAGAAAAGAAAGCAAAAGCCAAAUCGGAACCUCACCAAAUGUUGAGCAUAUCAUCAAGAAUCAAUUCUCCACAAGGCAAAGCCACUCACCAGCCCGUUCUCCAUUGAUGAAAACAUGCAUAGAAUGGCCUGCCGACAUCACAGUCAGGAAAGGGUAUCGGCCAUUCUUCAAGAAUUGUUCAUUUGAGUCUAUGUUAACACUGAAGAGUGGAGAUUGUGAGUCAUUGAGUGAUAGAUGUCAUUGAUUCUGUCUCAAAUAGACAAGCUGCAAAGGAACGUCUACUCACUAUGAAGUGUACCACAGGUAGUCUGUCCGAUCCCUUGUCAUGCUUAUCUGCUCCACCAAUCCAUCUUUUGUGAAUGAGUUAUCCCCCAGUGAGUUGGUAUCCUCACUGAAGGACUCCCAAGAAAAUCCACCAACCCAAGUCAUUUUAAUCUGUGAUGUUGGAGCUCCUACCUGUGUAUAUCAUUAGUAACUUUGUGUUAAAGACACUGUCAUGAAAAUUCAACCAUGGAAAUCCUUUUUCAUCCGAGAAAAUUUGGAAUACAUAGUGAGUUAUACAUUUUCUUUAGCCAAGAAACAAAUAACUCAAUAGAGAGGUGAGUUUUUUUAAUACAGUAGUAGAAGCAACCAUGACCGUUAAUCAUAAAAUAUUUCUCACCUUUGCAGUGUUGAACACUGAGGUUUUGCAGUCAGGAAGAAUGCUGAUGGACCAAGAUGGAAUAUUAUACUUCAUUCCAUUGAAAGUAACACUUGCAUAAGAAUGUGGGUUGAAAUUAGAAAGGAAUGCAGCACAUGAGCCUGACUUUGAUCUGUAUACAUGUGCCUGCAAGAAGUCGAAUGUAGAAAAGUUCCAAAAUGCAAAUCAUUGAAAAGAUUCCUGCAAAUUUUACAGCAAGAUAUAAGAAUUGAACCUCCUGAUAAUUUCCGAGUUUUGUCACUGUGGGAUCCCCAGACACAAGAGCUGGUUCACACAUUUUGAUUGCUUUAUGCAGGUCUCUCAGAUGUCCCCAUUUCGGCUGCCUCAACAGACCUGAGAAAGAUUAUGAUACGUUUAACACCAAAUAGAGGGAAUGGUAAUACUUGGCAUCAAAUAUAUUUGUAUUGCAUCAUCAGAUGCUUGACCAAUGAGAUUGCACAAUGUCUUCCUUGUAGAAGAGGAACAAGAUUUUGGCACCAAAAAGAAGAAAUAGGAAAAGGAGAAGCAACCUGAGUGGGAAUUGUAUUACUACUAAUCUUCUCUUAAUCUUGAAAAGAACCCAAGUAUUUGACCUAAAUAAUUCUCUAGGUGAGCAAUCACAACUUUAUACCCACGCAAGUAAAAAGAUCAUGCAUUUCUUUCUAAAAGCUGGAUGAGAUGAUCCAAAAUCACAUCUUUCUGGAAUUAUCACAAGCAUGCUAUGUGUGCAGAUGAUGAAGUCAACCAUGCCUUUUUCCUCACAUCAAAAGCUCCAAAAGGGGCAGAUCAAUGAGAAGUCAUGAGUUAAUUUAAAACCAAAUCAUUACAAAAUGAAAAUUGUUACAUAUGACACAAUCAUUGAAGAAAAACUGCAUACCGUAUUCAUCAAUUGGGGCAUCAUAGUCAUAGCUUGUCGAAAUAAAAGGACCACCAGCCGUCCUACCGAAGUUUGUUCCUCCAUGGUACUGCAGUUGACGGAAACGUGAAAAUUCUUUUACUUCAACAUGAUGUACAGCGUUCAGUAAUUACUGAAACAACUCAAGUAGAACAUACAAAUUCUUACCAUAUAGUAGUUAACGAAGGAUCCACCCUUCUGUAUAAACCUUGCAACGGCAAAAGCCAAGUCCUCAACAGGUCUGUGAGGAACUGGACCCCCGAAAGCAGUGAACCUAUUGAGAUAGAAUAUAUAAAAUAAAUUCACUAGAUCGAUUGAUUUCUUGUGAAAAUUUAUAUGAAUUCAAAUGUGAAGUAGAGGUUACCAGCCAGUCCAUGCUUCAGUCCACAUAGUAGGUUUAUAAGGCUUGUUUGGUGAGAAAUAAUCACAGUAGAACCCAUUGCAGGCAUUGAUCUGUAAAGCCAAGAUCCAAAAAUAAUAUCACAAUAAGUCAACUUAGCUGGUGUAACAGGGAAUUACAAUUACUCUAAUUGGUGCAGCUGUAACGUAAGUAGAAGAAAGUGUUGUUGAACAGGACAGGGUAAAGGAGGAACAUGAAUUUGGUGUUGUUCCUGAUAUGACAGAACAAUAAAACCGAAAUCUUGAACUUACCACUGGAUCAGGUGCAUCAUCUUGCUUGCACAUGACCCACGGCACACCGGUGUUGAGACCCACUGCCAUUUGAGCAGCCCAGCUUAGGUAGUUCUUGGCUGCAGUUCCGCCAUAGUACUCCACUGGACCAUAUUCGUUUUCAAUCUGCUCAAGUUAGACAGAGCAUGGAAGAGCAGAAAGCGAUUUAGAUGAGAUCUUUGGGAGCUGAUCAAUGACACAUAAAAGCUAACGAAUUGAUGAAAACAAAGAAGGAAAGGAUUCAAUGAUACCUGAGAGAGGAUAAUGGGACCACCCUGUGAUUCAAAUAAUCCUUCAGACUUCAUCAUGGCGACAAUCUUCUCUGUGAACUUCGCCAU
rnacentral:lncRNA from 1 species